GUCUACAGCCAUGCCACCCUGAACAAGCCCGAUGUCUGAUCUCAGAAGCUAAGCAGGGUCGGGCCUGGUUAGUACUUGGAUGGGAGACCAUCUAGUAAGACCAGGUACUGUAGGCA
rnacentral:rRNA from 1 species